rnacentral:tRNA from 1 species
UAUAGUGUGGUGUAUGGUGCACACAGGCCUUUGAAUCCUGAAGACAGAGUUCAACUCUUUCCACUAUAA